rnacentral:rRNA from 1 species
AAAUUGAAGAGUUUGAUCAUGGCUCAGAUUGAACGCUGGCGGCAGGCCUAACACAUGCAAGUCGAACGGUAACAGGAAGCAGCUUGCUGCUUUGCUGACGAGUGGCGGACGGGUGAGUAAUGUCUGGGAAACUGCCUGAUGGAGGGGGAUAACUACUGGAAACGGUGGCUAAUACCGCAUAACGUCGCAAGACCAAAGAGGGGGACCUUCGGGCCUCUUGCCAUCAGAUGUGCCCAGAUGGGAUUAGCUUGUUGGUGAGGUAACGGCUCACCAAGGCGACGAUCCCUAGCUGGUCUGAGAGGAUGACCAGCCACACUGGAACUGAGACACGGUCGAGACUCCUACGGGAGGCAGCAGUGGGGAAUAUUGCACAAUGGGCGCAAGCCUGAUGCAGCCAUGCCGCGUGUAUGAAGAAGGCCUUCGGGUUGUAAAGUACUUUCAGCGGGGAGGAAGGUGUUGUGGUUAAUAACCGCAGCAAUUGACGUUACCCGCAGAAGAAGCACCGGCUAACUCCGUGCCAGCAGCCGCGGUAAUACGGAGGGUGCAAGCGUUAAUCGGAAUUACUGGGCGUAAAGCGCACGCAGGCGGUCUGUCAAGUCGGAUGUGAAAUCCCCGGGCUCAACCUGGGAACUGCAUUCGAAACUGGCAGGCUUGAGUCUUGUAGAGGGGGGUAGAAUUCCAGGUGUAGCGGUGAAAUGCGUAGAGAUCUGGAGGAAUACCGGUGGCGAAGGCGGCCCCCUGGACAAAGACUGACGCUCAGGUGCGAAAGCGUGGGGAGCAAACAGGAUUAGAUACCCUGGUAGUCCACGCCGUAAACGAUGUCUACUUGGAGGUUGUGCCCUUGAGGCGUGGCUUCCGGAGCUAACGCGUUAAGUAGACCGCCUGGGGAGUACGGCCGCAAGGUUAAAACUCAAAUGAAUUGACGGGGGCCCGCACAAGCGGUGGAGCAUGUGGUUUAAUUCGAUGCAACGCGAAGAACCUUACCUGGUCUUGACAUCCACAGAACUUUCCAGAGAUGGAUUGGUGCCUUCGGGAACUGUGAGACAGGUGCUGCAUGGCUGUCGUCAGCUCGUGUUGUGAAAUGUUGGGUUAAGUCCCGCAACGAGCGCAACCCUUAUCCUUUGUUGCCAGCGGUUAGGCCGGGAACUCAAAGGAGACUGCCAGUGAUAAACUGGAGGAAGGUGGGGAUGACGUCAAGUCAUCAUGGCCCUUACGACCAGGGCUACACACGUGCUACAAUGGCGCAUACAAAGAGAAGCGACCUCGCGAGAGCAAGCGGACCUCAUAAAGUGCGUCGUAGUCCGGAUUGGAGUCUGCAACUCGACUCCAUGAAGUCGGAAUCGCUAGUAAUCGUGGAUCAGAAUGCCACGGUGAAUACGUUCCCGGGCCUUGUACACACCGCCCGUCACACCAUGGGAGUGGGUUGCAAAAGAAGUAGGUAGCUUAACCUUCGGGAGGGCGCUUACCACUUUGUGAUUCAUGACUGGGGUGAAGUCGUAACAAGGUAACCGUAGGGGAACCUGCGGUUGGAUCACCUCCUUACCUUAAAGAAGC